rnacentral:tRNA from 1 species
GCUAAUGUAGCUUAACAUAAAGCAUAGCACUGAAGAUGCUAAGAUGGGUCCUAAAAAACCCCAUAUGCA